rnacentral:rRNA from 1 species
GAUGAACGCUGGCGGCGUGCCUAAUACAUGCAAGUCGAGCGAACAGAUAAGGAGCUUGCUCCUUUGACGUUAGCGGCGGACGGGUGAGUAACACGUGGGUAACCUACCUAUAAGACUGGAAUAACUCCGGGAAACCGGGGCUAAUGCCGGAUAACAUUUAGAACCGCAUGGUUCUAAAGUGAAAGAUGGUUUUGCUAUCACUUAUAGAUGGACCCGCGCCGUAUUAGCUAGUUGGUAAGGUAACGGCUUACCAAGGCAACGAUACGUAGCCGACCUGAGAGGGGGAUCGGCCACACUGGAACGGAGACGCGGUCCAGGCUCCUAAGGGAGGGAGGAGGAGGGAAUCUUCCGCAAUGGGGGAAAGCCUGACGGAGCAACGGCGCGUGAGUGAUGGAGGUCUUCGGGUCGUAAAACUCUGUUAUUAGGGAAGAAAAAAUGUGUAAGUAACGGUGCACGUCUUGACGGUACCAAAUCAGAAAGCCACGGCUAACUACGU